AACGAACGCUGGCGGCAUGCCUAACACAUGCAAGUCGAACGAAGCCUUCGGGCUUAGUGGCGCACGGGUGCGUAACGCGUGGGAAUCUGCCCCUUGCUUCGGAAUAACAGUUAGAAAUGACUGCUAAUACCGGAUGAAGUCUUCGGACCAAAGAUUUAUCGGCAAGGGAUGAGCCCGCGUAGGAUUAGGUAGUUGGUGGGGUAAAGGCCUACCAAGCCGACGAUCCUUAGCUGGUCUGAGAGGAUGAUCAGCCACACUGGGACUGAGACACGGCCCAGACUCCUACGGGAGGCAGCAGUGGGGAAUAUUGGACGAUGGACGCAAGUCUGAUCCAGCAGUGCCGCGUGAGUGAUGAAGGCCUUAGGGUUGUAAAGCUCUUUUACCAGGGAUGAUAAUGACAGUACCUGGAGAAUAAGCUCCGGCUAACUCCGUG
rnacentral:rRNA from 1 species